UACGUAGGGGGCAAGCGUUGUCCGGAAUCAUUGGGCGUAAAGAGCGUGUAGGCGGCCCGAUAAGUCCGCCGUGAAAGUCCAGGGCUCAACCCUGGAAUGCCGGUGGAAACUGUCGGGCUGGAGUCCGGAAGAGGCGAGUGGAAUUCCUGGUGUAGCGGUGAAAUGCGCAGAUAUCAGGAAGAACACCCGUGGCUAAGGCGGUUCUCUAGUACGGUACUGACGCUGAGACGCGAAAGCGUGGGGAGCGAACAGG
rnacentral:rRNA from 1 species